UACGUAGGGCGCGAGCGUUGUCCGGAAUCAUUGGGCGUAAAGAGCUCGUAGGCGGCCUGUCGCGUCUGCUGUGAAAUCCCGGGGCUUAACCCCGGGCGUGCAGUGGAUACGGGCUGGCUGGAGUGCGGCAGAGGGGGAUGGAAUUCCGCGUGUAGCAGUGAAAUGCGUAGAUAUGCGGAGGAACACCGAUGGCGAAGGCAAUCCCCUGGGCCUGCACUGACGCUCAUGCACGAAAGCGUGGGGAGCAAACAGG
rnacentral:rRNA from 1 species